rnacentral:rRNA from 1 species
AGUGAACGCUGGCGGUAGGCCUAACACAUGCAAGUCGAACGGCAGCACAGUAAGAGCUUGCUCUUACGGGUGGCGAGUGGCGGACGGGUGAGGAAUACAUCGGAAUCUACUUUUUCGUGGGGGAUAACGUAGGGAAACUUACGCUAAUACCGCAUACGACCUACGGGUGAAAGCAGGGGAUCUUCGGACCUUGCGCGAUUGAAUGAGCCGAUGUCGGAUUAGCUAGUUGGCGGGGUAAAGGCCCACCAAGGCGACGAUCCGUAGUUGGUCUGAGAGGAUGAUCGGCCACACUGGAACUGAGACACGGUCCAGACUCCUACGGGAGGCAGCAGUGGGGAAUAUUGGACAAUGGGCGCAAGCCUGAUCCAGCCAUACCGCGUGGGUGAAGAAGGCCUUCGGGUUGUAAAGCCCUUUUGUUGGGAAAGAAAAGCAGCAGGUUAAUACCCCGCUGUUCUGACGGUACCCAAAGAAUAAGCACCGGCUAACUUCGUG